rnacentral:tRNA from 1 species
GCGUCGGUGGUGUAAAGGCGUAGAGCAUUCCCCCGGUUAGAGGGAGGUGCGGGUUCGAGUCCCGCCUGGCGCU